CCUACGGGGUGCAGCAGUGGGGAAUAUUGCACAAUGGGGGGAACCCUGAUGCAGCGACGCCGCGUGGGUGAAGGAGUAUUUCGGUAUGUAAAGCCCUAUCAGCAGGGAAGAACAAUGACGGUACCUGACUAAGAAGCACCGGCUAAAUACGUGCCAGCAGCCGCGGUAAUACGUAUGGUGCAAGCGUUAUCCGGAUUUACUGGGGGUAAAGGGCGUGUAGGAGGGAAAGCAAGUCAGAUGUGAAAACCAUGGGCUCAACCUGUGGCCUGCAUUUGAAACUGUUUUUCUUGAGUACUGGAGAGGCAGACGGAAUGCCUAGUGUAGCGGUGAAAUGCGUAGAUAUUAGGAGGAACACCAGGGGCGAAGGCGGUCUGCUGGACAGCAACUGACGCUGAGGCGCGAAAGCGUGGGGAGCAAACAGGAUUAGAUACCCCUGUAGUC
rnacentral:rRNA from 1 species